rnacentral:tRNA from 1 species
GCGGGAGUAGCUCAGUUGGUAGAGCAUCAGCUUGCCAUGCUGGAUGUCGCGGGUUCGAAUCCCGUCUCCCGCUCCA